AUUGAAACACCAGCUUCCAUAUGAUCACCAAAGUUAAGCAACAUUAAGCCUGGUAAAUACAUAGAUGGGUGACCACUUGGGAAUACCAGUUGCU